GCGUGGCAGGGGCGGGAGUGGGAAGGGCAGCGCCAGGUCUGCCCCCUCCAGGAAGCCUUCCCUGCCGCACCUC
ensembl:miRNA